GAUACGGGACUUUUCUCACAGCUUAUAUGAUUGUCAUCUUCAUGCAUCCUUUGCAUUACUACUCUUAUGUGAUCAAUCCCCAACAAAAUUGCCUUGAAAUCGACAAUGAAUUGUACGCCACGUUUGCCGUCGUCGCCUUCUUCAAUACUUACAUGCUUCUAUACGUUCCAAAUGUCAUCAGAAAAAUCUUUGCGGGAACUAUUACUAAAGAGAAGGGGAUAGAACAUUUCAUGUUUACUCAAGUACCCGUCUUGUUGAUGACAUUGACUAUACUUCCAGAUUUGACAAGGGGAACAACAGACAGGAUUUUCUUGACUACAACGAACUUGUUUCUUUUCGGAUACAUGCUUCUGGUUAUUGGACUCUCGAUAACUAUUAGAAAUGCCUCCAAGCGUACAGGUUUCAUUGCUGAAGCCAAAUGAGCAAAAGCAGUGUUCAAUCUUUUCCUUUACUUGCAUGGAGGUCAUGUAUUUGGAGCAAUUUGGUACUGUUUUGCCAUCGACAGAGUUCUCGUAUGUUGGAGGGAUGAGUAUAUUUUCAAGAAUACAUUGAAAUUUGGUUCUUUUGUUUGUGGUAAUCAGAAUUUAGAGAAGCUAAGUUGUCUUAGAACGGCACAAGCUGGUGGAAAUAAUACAGAUUUUGGAAUAUUCAAGGAUGCUCUUCAAUAUAGAAUUGUGGAAAUGAAAUCAUUUCCGAAGAAAUAUUUAUUCUGUUUACGAUGGGGUCUGCAAGUUCUCAGUUGUUUCGGUCAAAAUCUUGAAGCAAGUACUUUUCC